GAAGGUGAGAAGACGGAGCCGAGGAACGAAUUGCGGUUCCUCUCCCGUUUUCCUCCGACAGUGGCGGAGGCGGUUUGCGGUGACUGGGAAGGGGUAGGGUCGUCCUCCCUGCAAUAAACCGCCAUCCACGGUGGUGGCUCCUCUUCUCCAUUCGGUUUUCUUUUACCUCGGUUUAUGCUUCGAAAGGUGGAAGAGGAUGACCUUUGUUAGUGGUUCCCCACCACCACAAACAGUUGUCUAUGCAAACUUUUGUACUAACAGUGGGGUUGUGAAGGAUUCCUUGUGAAAGUUUGGACAUUAGCAUAAACAUAGAGGAUGCUACUGAAUCAAAAAAGAUAGUGCUUUAUCCAAAACCCAAGUAAGAGCAAAGAAUAUGAGUAUGUACAAGUUGGGUUUGCUUUGAGUAGUUUGGUGCGGCGAAAGCAGUGCGGAUAUCUGUUUUAUUGUAUGUGUGGUGUUGUUGUAUCAAGCUAGUUCGCAGUAUAUCUCCUUGCUAAAUGCCAAACCAAUGCCAUAAUUUCCUUUCUACUUUAUCUAAUUACACCGUGUU